UGGUUUACCGGUUGUGCCGCCAGGUGCAUUGCCGGGUAUCUAAGUCGGGAUUGGAUAAGUGCUGAAAGCAUCUAAGUACGAAGCCAGCCACAAGAUUAGAUUUCUUAGGGUCGUCACAGACGAUGACGUUGAUAGGAUGCAGGUGUACAGGCAGCGAUGUCAUAGCCGAGCAUUACUAAUUGCCCGUUCACUUUUGGUU
rnacentral:ncRNA from 1 species